rnacentral:rRNA from 1 species
AUUGAACGCUGGCGGCAUGCCUUACACAUGCAAGUCGAACGGUAACAGGUCUUCGGAUGCUGACGAGUGGCGAACGGGUGAGUAAUACAUCGGAACGUGCCCGAGAGUGGGGGAUAACGAAGCGAAAGCUUUGCUAAUACCGCAUACGAUCUCAGGAUGAAAGCAGGGGACCGCAAGGCCUUGCGCUCACGGAGCGGCCUAUGGCAGAUUAGGUAGUUGGUGGGAUAAAAGCUUACCAAGCCGACGAUCUGUAGCUGGUCUGAGAGGACGACCAGCCACACUGGGACUGAGACACGGCCCAGACUCCUACGGGAGGCAGCAGUGGGGAAUUUUGGACAAUGGGCGAAAGCCUGAUCCAGCCAUGCCGCGUGCAGGAUGAAGGCCUUCGGGUUGUAAACUGCUUUUGUACGGAACGAAAAGAUUCUGGUUAAUACCUGGAGUCCAUGACGGUACCGUAAGAAUAAGCACCGGCUAACUACGUGCCAGCCGCCGCAGUAAAAC